rnacentral:pre_miRNA from 7 species
AACCGCCAGUGGAAAUCGAUUUUCACUGGCGGUCGGCGUAAUAAAACCGCCAGUGAAAAUCGAUUUUCACUGGCGGUC